rnacentral:lncRNA from 1 species
UCAUGAAGCUGCCGGUUGAAUUUAGCCAAAACUAUUCUUUUAUAUAUACUUUGCUCAUUUGGUUGCUAUUGACUUUAUUAGCACUGUCUUCAGGUGCAAGCAUCAUAUCCAACCAACUACCAUAUGCAAAAUAGCCAAUAUCCAUGCACACAACACUAUUAAAAUUUUCAAAACAUUUGAAAUAAAUAUCUUAUCCAACCAACUAGAAUACACAGAAAAGUGCA